GAUGAACGCUGGCGGCGUGCCUAAUACAUGCAAGUCGAGCGAACGGACGAGAAGCUUGCUUCUCUGAUGUUAGCGGCGGACGGGUGAGUAACACGUGGAUAACCUACCUAUAAGACUGGGAUAACUUCGGGAAACCGGAGCUAAUACCGGAUGAUAUUUUGAACCGCAUGGUUCAAAAGUGAAAGACGGUCUUGCCGUCACUUAUAGAUGGAUCCGCGCUGCAUUAGCUAGUUGGUAAGGUAACGGCUUACCAAGGCAACGAUGCAUAGCCGACCUGAGAGGGUGAUCGGCCACACUGGAACUGAGACACGGUCCAGACUCCUACGGGAGGCAGCAGUAGGGAAUCUUCCGCAAUGGGCGAAAGCCUGACGGAGCAACGCCGCGUGAGUGAUGAAGGUCUUCGGAUCGUAAAACUCUGUUAUUAGGGAAGAACAUAUGUGUAAGUAACUGUGCACAUCUUGACGGUACCUAAUCAGAAAGCCACGGCUAACUACGUGCCAGCAGCCGCGGUAAUACGUAGGUGGCAAGCGUUAUCCGGAAUCAUUGGGCGUAAAGCGCGCGUAGGCGGUUUUUUAAGUCUGAUGUGAAAGCCCACGGCUCAACCGUGGAGGGUCAUUGGAAACUGGAAAACUUGAGUGCAGAAGAGGAAAGUGGAAUUCCAUGUGUAGCGGUGAAAUGCGCAGAGAUAUGGAGGAACACCAGUGGCGAAGGCGACUUUCUGGUCUGUAACUGACGCUGAUGUGCGAAAGCGUGGGGAUCAAACAGGAUUAGAUACCCUGGUAGUCCACGCCGUAAACGAUGAGUGCUAAGUGUUAGGGGGUUUCCGCCCCUUAGUGCUGCAGCUAACGCAUUAAGCACUCCGCCUGGGGAGUACGACCGCAAGGUUGAAACUCAAAGGAAUUGACGGGGACCCGCACAAGCGGUGGAGCAUGUGGUUUAAUUCGAAGCAACGCGAAGAACCUUACCAAAUCUUGACAUCCUUUGACAACUCUAGAGAUAGAGCCUUCCCCUUCGGGGGACAAAGUGACAGGUGGUGCAUGGUUGUCGUCAGCUCGUGUCGUGAGAUGUUGGGUUAAGUCCCGCAACGAGCGCAACCCUUAAGCUUAGUUGCCAUCAUUAAGUUGGGCACUCUAAGUUGACUGCCGGUGACAAACCGGAGGAAGGUGGGGAUGACGUCAAAUCAUCAUGCCCCUUAUGAUUUGGGCUACACACGUGCUACAAUGGACAAUACAAAGGGCAGCAAAACCGCGAGGUCAAGCAAAUCCCAUAAAGUUGUUCUCAGUUCGGAUUGUAGUCUGCAACUCGACUACAUGAAGCUGGAAUCGCUAGUAAUCGUAGAUCAGCAUGCUACGGUGAAUACAUUCCCGGGUCU
rnacentral:rRNA from 1 species